rnacentral:lncRNA from 1 species
CAAAAUUGAAAAUUUUAUUUUAAGGUUAGGCUUAAUUAUUAUAUAGUUAAACAAAGAAAAAGGAAAUUAAGCUUAAAGGGGUAUACUAGGGAUAAAAAUUUAACAAGGUUUGCUUUUGUCACGACCCGGAACUUCCCAUCGGGCCCGUGACAACCGCCGCGAGGCCUCGACAGACAUUCUUCACCCCGAAUGCCGAUUGAAACCUCGCAAGGCUUAGCAUCAACUUCCUCAUCUCCC